rnacentral:rRNA from 1 species
CACGUAGGGCGCAAGCGUUGUCCGGAAUUAUUGGGCGUAAAGAGCUCGUAGGCGGACUGUCACGUCCGCUGUGAAAAGCUAGGGCUUAACCCUGGCCUUGCAGUGGAUACGGGCAGACUAGAGGUAGGUAGGGGAGAAUGGAAUUCCCGGUGUAGCGGUGAAAUGCGCAGAUAUCAGGAGGAACACCGGUGGCGAAGGCGGUUCUCUGGGCAUGUCCUGACGCUGAGGAGCGAAAGUGUGGGGGAGCGAACAGG